rnacentral:rRNA from 1 species
CCUACGGGAGGCAGCAGUGAGGAAUAUUGGUCAAUGGACGCAAGUCUGAACCAGCCAUGCCGCGUGCAGGAAGACGGCUCUAUGAGUUGUAAACUGCUUUUGUACGAGGGUAAAUCCCGAUACGUGUAUCGGGUUGACAGUAUCGUACGAAUAAGGAUCGGCUAACUCCGUGCCAGCAGCAGCGGCAGUACGGAGGAUUCAAGCGUUAGCGGGAUUUGUUGGGUUUAAAGGUGGCGUAGGCGGUUCGAGAAGUUAGAGGGGAAAUCCCGGGGCUCAACUCCGGCACUGCUUCUGAUACUGUCGGGCUAGAGUUUAGGUGCGGUAGGCGGAAUGUAUGGUGUAGCGGUGAAAUGCAUAGAGAUCAUACAGAACACCGAUUGCGAAGGCAGCUUACCAAACUGCGACUGACGUUGAGGCACGAAAGCGUGGGGAGCAAACAGGAUUAGAUACCCCAGUAGUC